UUAUUCAUUUCCAUUUUAGUUCAGUUUUCAAUAUAUGUUUCAUUUUUAAUUCCAGAUUUAAUUUCUCUUAUGAAUGUUUUGAAGUUUGAUGUUUUUCCAAACUAAAUUUGACAUAGUUUCUUUAACCAGACUCAGUGGAUGGGUAACAAAUUAAUCUCUGAAUGUUGGUUCAUUAAUUCUAAUAUAAAUUUUAAAGUGAUCUGUGAAGUUAUAUAUUUUUCUGAAAAAAAAAAAAGUGAGAGUUCUUUCUCCUGCCUUACUCCAUCCAUUUUUAGUUUUCCUAAAAAACACUCCGAAAAAAUAUCUCCAUCCUUAAAAAAAAAAGAUUGAAAUUUCAAACUAGAAAAUAAAAUUGAAACAUAAAAGAAAAAUGAUACAUAAUGAAGGUGUCAUACUUUGAAUCAAAAUCUCCCUUUUUGUUGAAGAAUUAUUUAGGGGUCGUUUUUGUGAUUUCUUUUUUUUUUUAUAUUGAUUGUUUUUCCCCCCUGUUUAAUGCAAGAAAAUCUGUUACAGUUUUUGUUCCAAUUUGAUUUGGCCUCCCAAUUAGGAUCAGUUAUCUUCUGACCAUGUAGUCUCCUUGUUGAAUUGUCUGUGCAUGUGGCAUCUGGUAGAAAUAUUUCAUGCAUGCAGCAUUUCAUUGAGGAAUCUAACUGUGCAGCAUCUUGUAGAAGUGUUUGUGCAUGCAGCACCUGGUGCAAUUUUCUUUAAGAAGAAAAAUGUAUUUAAAAU